ensembl:lncRNA
UCCGUUUGUGAAUAUAUUUCCAACAUAUAUAUGUACAACAAGGGAACUUGCGCGGUUGCUGAUAAUGUUUGUAUGUGGAAUUAAACCGCGACGUCAGAGAGUCUUAUUCCACUCAAACACACUGAGCUCCAUUUGGGAAUUUUUUCACAAAUCCAGUUUUGCUUAACUAAACAUUUCCAUAGAUUUUGACGUCAUUUGUGUUGAAAAUCACCUGCUGAGGUGUUGUUGGAUAGUGUAGUGGAUAACACCUCUGCCUUCUAUGCUGUAGACUAGGGUUCAGGGUCCCCCACCAGGGCAAGCACCCUACACUGUACCAAUCAGAGUCCUUGGGCAAGACUCCUAACACCACCUUGGCCUCCCUGUGUAAAAUGAUCAAACUGUAAGUUGCUCUGGAUAAGAGCGUCAGCCAAAUGCCGUAAAUGUAAAUGAGGUCAAAAACCGCGUGUCCAUGCGAAAUAGGAACUGUGCCAUGUUCACAGAUCGGCUGGUCAGUCUGAGUCUGGCUUCAUCCAUCUGAGCGCUCGACUUCUGAAGUUAUGCGCUUUAGAAAAACCUCGAUGCGUAAUAGUGGCGGAUUUUGGCGUGGAUCGUGACGUCACCUGAAUUCACAAAUCAGGACUAGCUAAAGCCUCCAGAGUUGGUGGAGGUAGUUCCCGCCCGCUGCCGGUUAAUCGCUCUCAGUCUGUGCUGCUCUGAAGGCUUUAAUGUUGUCGGCGCUCAUUAGGUCCCGUCAUGUGAUGUAACGGCGUUUGAUGGGUAAGCUCGCUGCGUUCAGCCCAAAUCCUGUUUCCUAUCAGAUCUUCAUUCGGAUGAAAUCGUGGUUUUAUAUUACCUGAAUAAACGUGGCGUUGAGACAGAUUUGAGCUCUGGGGAUAUCUGAUUCAUAUAUCACUUUAGAAGGGGUUUUAGUGGCUUUGCACACACAAAUAAAACAUCAAACGAAACGCCAGCUUUCUACAGGCGGACUCGCACGAGCAUCCCGAAGUCUCGCGAUGUCUCGUCUCCUUCAUCGCUCGUGCUGUGAGUGUGAACGCGUGCGCGCACAUCCUUCCUCAGCAGAGGCCGUGUCUGUUUGGAGAGGAGAGGAGAGGAGAGGAGAGGAGGAGCUCUGUAGAAUAUGAUGCUUCCUGUUCAGGUUACAGAUGGU